AGUGAACGCUGGCGGUAGGCCUAACACAUGCAAGUCGAACGGAAGCACAGUAAGAGCUUGCUCUUACGGGUGGCGAGUGGCGGACGGGUGAGGAAUACAUCGGAAUCUACUUUUUCGUGGGGGAUAACGUAGGGAAACUUACGCUAAUACCGCAUACGACCUACGGGUGAAAGCAGGGGAUAUUCGGACCUUGCGCGACUGAAUGAGACGAUGUCGGAUUAGCUAGUUGGCGGGGUAAAGGCCCACCAAGGCGACGAUCCGUAGCUGGUCUGAGAGGAUGAUCAGCCACACUGGAACUGAGACACGGUCCAGACUCCUACGGGAGGCAGCAGUGGGGAAUAUUGGACAAUGGGCGCAAGCCUGAUCCAGCCAUACCGCGUGGGUGAAGAAGGCCUUCGGGUUGUAAAGCCCUUUUGUUGGGAAAGAAAAGCAGCAGGUUAAUACCCCGCUGUUCUGACGGUACCCAAAGAAUAAGCACCGGCUAACUUCGUG
rnacentral:rRNA from 1 species